GACAGAGGGUGCAACCGUUGUUCGGAAUCACUGGGCGUAAAGCGCGUGUAGGCUGCUGCGCAAGUCGGAUGUGAAAUCCCACGGCUCAACCAUGGAAGUGCAUUCGAAACUGCGUAGCUAGAGUUCUGGAGAGGAAGGCGGAAUACUCGGUGUAGAGGUGAAAUUCGUAGAUAUCGAGUGGAACACCGGUGGCGAAGGCGGCCUUCUGGACAGUGACUGACGCUGAAACGCGAAAGCGUGGGGAGCAAACAGG
rnacentral:rRNA from 1 species